rnacentral:lncRNA from 1 species
UCCUCCAAGGACUUUGUUGUACGAGAACUUGUUGUAACUGCCUCUUGAUGUAUAUCCACAGCUUGCAUCUUUCAUUAUUCAACAUAUGCUCCACAAUUUGUAACAGAUAAUGUGUAAUCCAUACUUCUUUUUCCCACACUUGCCUAACGUCUUUCUCGAAAAGAUCAGACUCGCUUGCUAUUUCCAACCACCAAAUCAGCUCCACUUCUACCAGCCCACA